GAUGAACGCUGGCGGCGUGCCUAAUACAUGCAAGUCGAGCGAACAGACGAGGAGCUUGCUCCUCUGACGUUAGCGGCGGACGGGUGAGUAACACGUGGAUAACCUACCUAUAAGACUGGGAUAACUUCGGGAAACCGGAGCUAAUACCGGAUAAUAUAUUGAACCGCAUGGUUCAAUAGUGAAAGACGGUUUUGCUGUCACUUAUAGAUGGAUCCGCGCCGCGUUAGCUAGUUGGUACGGUAACGGCUUACCAAGGCAACAUUGGGUAGCCGACCCAGGGGGGGGUACGUGCCCACUGGGAGUGGAGCAAGGGCCCAACUGCGACUGGGAGACGGAUCAGGGUAAUUUGCGCGAUAGGGGGAAAGCUGGAGGAGCAACGGGCGGGAGGGUGACGAGGGUCUGCGGUGUGUAAACCUUUGUUAUACGGGAAGAAAAAUUUUUUAAGAAAAGAAGAAGCAUUGACGGUACCUUAGGAAAAAGCCCCGGCUAACUCUGUG
rnacentral:rRNA from 1 species